CUUCUUGUAAUUUUGUGCAUAUUUGUUUUAUAUUUAUUUUCAGUGUUGACUUUCUUUUGUUAUCUGUAUAUAAUUAGUAUUUAAGAUUAGGAGAAGAUGAUUUAAUGGUAGUUAUAAAAAUAAGCUCUACUGUAUAGACAUAAACUCUAGUCCUUGUGUGGUUGGCAAGUAUUUUCAAUAUCUGAAGAUACUAGAUUUAAAGCAAUUUGGAGUUACAGGGCUUGUGACAGAUUGUCUUUUCCAAAGACGAGCACAACAUCUCUCAUCUGCAUUGAGCUGUUAUAACUCUUCCAUCAAGAGGUAAAGUUUACUUUGCCACCUACUUGAAUCUGAGACAGCAGCCCCAGACUGCUUUGACCAAUACAGUAUGCAGAACUGAUACUGCCAGUAACAGGCACAGCCCUUAACUGGCCUGGAAACUUGUACUUCCUCCCUGUUGGAAGCUAACCACCAUUUAAUAAGUGUGACUACUCCCACCCAAGCCCAUGUGGAGAGGGCUUGGAGGCUGAGAGGCUGUGCUAGAAACAGAAAGCCCAGGGAAAACAAAAGUGCCAGACCUGCAAAUGAAGAAGCCAAGUUGGAAGCCAAUCUUUCAGCACCAGCUGACCCCAGUUAAUAGCAGAUGGAUUAGAGAUGAACCCCCCACCUGAGUACUUCCUGACUUCCUAACAUAUAAAAAUGUGAGCCCAAUAAAAUAGUAGAGAUUUUAUGCCACGACAUUUUGAGGUAGUUUUAAAUGUAGUAAUCAAGAAUCAGAAUAGGGUCAACAGAGCAUAUAUACCUGCCCUGCUAAAAGGCUUUAUUCUUUUAAAACAUUUGACUGGACAAUGAGAGCCCAUUUUCCCAAUGAAUUUGCUGUAGGGUAACUGUAGGGUUUGCUACUCCUGCUCUGGAACAACAGGAAACUGAAUUCACAUCCCAUAUCUACCAUUUACUUUGUGACUGGACAAGUUACUCAACAUCUUGAAGCCUUACUUUCCUUUCCAAUCAAAUGGGGUUACAGUGAGAAUUUAAUGGUUUAAUGAAUAAAAAGCAUUACCAGCUAUCAAUUUUAAUCAUUUUUUAAUUAUAUUUUUAGAUAUAGUGAUUUAUUUUCUUGGCUAGAAAAAAUGAAAUUGUAUUGCUUCUUGGUUUAAAAUAAUUGCUGACAUUUUUACUAUUAUACUAACCUGUCAGUGACAAUGAGAAUAUCAGCUAGAGAAAGAGAGGAGGUGUUUUUUCCUUUUGCUUGGUUUACAAAGUCAUGUUAUUCAAUCACUGGUUUCUAUAUCUAUUUUUCAUUAUAUAUUUAUUUACUAUAGAAUGCAUACCUGCUCAACAUAUCCUUAAAUAUAAGAUGUUAACAUAUGUCUAUAUUUCCACAUAUGUACAAAUGAUGAAUUUAAUAACUUUUGCAUGGUUGAUAGCACAUAAAGCUUAAAUUACUUUUUGUGUCUUUUAACAAUUGCUUAACUGUUAAAGAUAAUGAGGUUUAUAAUUGCAGUCAUUGUCUUUCUCUAAUUGUACUUUCACAAAUUAGCCUUCAGACCAAAUCUAUUUGAAGCUACUCUUCUACUUUUACUCUUCCCAAUUUAGUCUCUGAAUCUCCCCUACCCCUCUCUCAUUCUUUCUUCUUCGUUUCUUCCUCUCUCCACGUACACAUAUAUGCGUAUGCACAUAUAUGUCUAUGCGCAUACAUGCAAACACACACAUAUUUACGUUUGACUUCUCAGUAUUUGGUCUUUGGGUUAGGAAUCCUACUUACAGCAGUCCACUGAGAUACUAAAUUCCUUUUAUUUCAGUUCCUUAUGACCAUUUGUCUGUCUAAGCUUUGAUAAAAUAUGGCAGGGUUCAGGAUUAUUGGCAGUCUUUUCUUCAGUGAACCCUAAAACUGGAACUUCAUAAAAGUUUCACAUCAGGAGAAACAUGUAGAGUAGAUAUGAGCAGAAAUAAGAUUAGCAACUGCUUUGAAAAUCAGAUUGUUCUUAUUUCUCUGCUAUAUGUGGAGUUCUCUUACUUGUAUGCCCAGGAAGUCUUAAUUUCCUCUGGCAUCUGCCAGCCUGUUUCACCACAUCAUGCUAAUUCAUCCCACUGAAAAAGUUAUAAAACGCAGGAAGCUUAAAUAAGCCCAGGAACUGCGUUCAUCACUCUUUUUAAAAAAUGAAACACAGAAUAUGUUUGCUUUAUUUACAGUAUUGGCUUCAGGCAAAUCAAAUUUAUGUGAAAUAUUAUUGCACCGAAAGGAUGUAAUGUGCAUUUCUUGCAUGAUACUAAAUUUAUCUUUAGGAAACAAAGACAAGUGAAGCAGCAAACUUGCCGAACAAUCUCUGCCACACCAUAUGCACUUCAAAAGACCAACCACAGUGAUUAAAGGGAUGAAAAAGAUGACCUGCUUGAAAACUCUAAAGAACCCAGUAUUAUUUGAAAGAAGAGGAAGCUGAAUGCCCUCUGUCCUUCUCUGGAAUAAGAACUAACCUGAACAACAGUAACAACAAUACAAACAGCUAUGAAGAUUAUGUAUAGCUGGAGGCUACAAGCAGGUAAGGUGUGAAGGGAUAUAAAAAUUAAAAUAACCUAUUUAUUAUUUUUAUUUUCAAAAAUCAAUUUAUUUAGUGAGUUUGUGUUAUUAAAUGAUGAAAAAAAUUACAAUGAAGGGCUAAGGGCUUUCUACUUAGCUUUAGUUUAAUAGUUUCAGUUUUCAUUUUCAAAUGAAGUGUUAGUACUUCAUUUAAUCUAUAACAACCAUGGAAUGUGGUAUCAUUAACAUCAGUUGAAAAAGUAAACUAAGUUUAAUUCAUGGUAAUUCAUGAGACGAAUUCAUUGACCAGAGGAGGUCAAAGAGUCAUGGUUCUUAAAAUGAAUGUUGUAGUCCUCUGCCUUUCGAUAACCUUACUAUGAUCAUUUUUAUGUAAGAGGCAACUAAGCCGUAAGUGGGUAAAAAGCAUAGAUUUGCUCAAUUUCUAACCUGUUUUUUUCAUGAUACAUGCAUCAUCCUAAACUAUUCCUCAAAUUUAUCAUUUAAUCUCUGCUUUAACAAUUUAGUGAGCUGAGGAAAUUAUAAUACCAUUUAAAAAUAGCAUAAUCAUUAGAAAUAUCUUCUUUAUGUUGACCUAAAAUUAACUUCCCUCCUAUCCCUGGUGAUGCCACUCAUAUUGCCAAAACUAGAUGGUGACCAAACCUGUCAGAUUGUUUUUUAAAGAUGCUGAGGAGCAGAUUUCUCAUGGGGAGCACCUUCUGAUACAUUUUAAUACGUUUCUUACAGGCUAGUCAAAUAAAGCAGUGGGAGUGGAAAAGGAUCAAAGAAAUCUGUAACCGGUUAUGAUCAAUUAGUUGUAAACACCACUGCACGAGGACCAGCCCAAAGCUGCUACUUAACCAAGUGACUUUCUGAUUGCUCAACUGUGUUUCCACUGAGAAAAAUGCAUUGAAAUGAAACAUCUCAUUUCCAGUACUGUCCUGAGGCAAAAAGAGACAAUGAUACGUAUCUCCAAUUUAGACUGGAUGAAACUAGCCACAUUUCAAAUAAAGAAGUCACAUUGUAAGUGUAAAACGACGUUAACCUUAAAGGAGACAUUUCCGCCCUGUAUAACUAUGCACAGCUUCAACUAAUGGUAUAUGAACUGUGUCUACAAACCAAAGGACAUUUUUCUAAAGAAACUUUAAAUAUAGAAAAUUAACUCAAACCUUACCUUAGAGCUUCCUCCUCUAUUGUCUUUUCCUGUAGUGGUAGUCUCUGUGGCACUUACAGGUGGUAAACAAAUAAAAAAGUGUCUUAUUGAAUUAACUUGAUUGCCAUAUUGAUCAGUUUUAUGUGUUUUUAUUCUUAAGCAUAACAAUAAAAGAAAAUGAUUAAGCAAUGUUUUGCUUAAAAAAAAAAGAUUUCAUGGCAGAGAAGCAAUUGAGUCCAGUUAAGAGACAGUUAAGAACAUUUUUCAGUUUGGAGCUUUUGUUUUGUGAUGAGAACUUUGCCAGUUAGUCACAAAUGAACUUGAGCACAUUUUCUUGAGCGUGAUGGCUGAACAGAUGAGCCACACACACUUUAUAGUGAGUUUUACUGCACUGAGUCUUUACCUACUAUUCCUAGUAGUUACACAUAUUAAAUUAUUAAUAACUGAUCAACAUUUUAAAAGAAGGUUUCAAAAGAAAUGUAAUUAGAUUUUAUAGUUGAGUUUUAGCUAAUGUGUGAUUCCACAAAAGUUCAGGUGCCGAGAUUACAUUUCAAUUUAUACUUGCCAUCUGCUAGAAUAUUCCCCUCUGUCUACAGCAUCCUGACCAGAUCUCCAAAUUUUGAAAUCUGUUUUCAUUAUUCAAGACUCAUUGUACAUUUCAAAUACCAGGUUGAUUUCUUAGUCUCCAUGUUCUCCAUGUCUGCUUAUGACUUUACAGAAAAAAUGUUAUUUACUAUGCAUAUUAAUAUUGAGAUUCUUUACUAUGCUGUAUCUUUUUUUUUUUUUUUUUUUUUUUGAGAUGGAGUCUCACUAUGUUGCCCAGGCUGGAGUGCAGUGGCGCCAUCUCGGCUCACUGCAAGCUUCGCCUCCUGGGUUCAUGCCAUUCUCCUACCUCAGCCUCCUGAGUAGCUGGGAUUCUAAUCUCCGCCACCACGCCUGGCCAAUUUUUUGUAUUUUUAGUAGAGACAGGGUUUCACUUUGUUAGCCAGGAUGGGAGCUCGUAAUCCGCCCACCUCGGCCUCCCAAAGCUGGGAUUACAGGCGUGAGCCACUGUGCCUGGCCUACUAUGCUGUAUUCUUAUAGUUAACAGCAUGCUCUUUGAUAAUAUCUCAUUGGAAAUAUUUAUGCUCUGAAACAUUAUUUUUUGAAUUGUUAAAUAUAAAUCAUUUAUACAGCAAUACUUUAUGGGAGAAGCAUAUGCUGAAUUUUAAUGGUGUUUACUUUGCAAUCCAAAAUUGUGAAUACAUACAUGUAAAACUAUGAAAUUGCUAAUUAAAUAUUUCCAUCUAUC
rnacentral:lncRNA from 1 species